rnacentral:rRNA from 1 species
UACAGAGGGUGCAAGCGUUGUUCGGAUUGACUGGGCGUAAAGGGCGUGUAGGCGGUUGGUCAAGUCUGAUGUGAAAGCCCGGGGCUCAGCCCCGGAAGGGCAUCGGAAACUAGCCAGCUGGAGCGCGAUAGAGGAGGGUGGAAUUCCUGGUGUAGCGGUGGAAAUGCGUAGAUAUCAGGAGGAACACCGGCGGCGAAGGCGGCCCCUCUGGAUCGUUGCUGACGCUGAGACGCGAAAGCGUGGGGAGCAAACAGG